rnacentral:rRNA from 1 species
UACGUAGGGUGCAAGCGUUGUCCGGAAUUAUUGGGCGUAAAGAGCUCGUAGGCGGUCUGUCACGUCGGCUGUGAAAACCCGAGGCUCAACCUCGGGCCUGCAGUCGAUACGGGCAAACUAGAGUACUGCAGGGGAGACUGGAAUUCCUGGUGUAGCGGUGAAAUGCGCAGAUAUCAGGAGGAACACCGGUGGCGAAGGCGGGUCUCUGGGCAGUAACUGACGCUGGAGGAGCGAAAGCAUGGGGAGCGAACAGG